rnacentral:rRNA from 1 species
AACCUUCCUGUAUCAGGAGGAUAGGCCUUGGAAACGAGGAUUAAUACUGCGUAAUAUUAUUUUAUCGCAUGGUAAGAUAAUCAAAUUUACGAAGGAUACAGAUGGGCAUGCGUACCAUUAGCUAGAUGGUAAGGUAACGGCUUACCAUGGCUAUGAUGGUUAGGGGUUCUGCAAGGAAGAUCCCCCACACUGGUACUGAGACACGGACCAGACUCCUACGGGAGGCAGCAGUGAGGAAUAUUGGUCAAUGGAGGCAACUCUGAACCAGCCAAGCCGCGUGAAGGAAGACUGUUCUAUGAAUUGUAAACUUCUUUUGUGACAGAGUAAAGAUAGCUACGUGUAGUUGUUUGCAAGUAUGUCAUGAAUAAGCAUCGGCUAACUCCGUGCCAGCAGCCGCGGUAAUACGGAGGAUGCAGGCGUUAUCCGGAUUUAUUAGGUUUAAAGGGUGUUCAGGCUGUCUGGUAAGUCAGAGGUGAAAGUCGGUUGCUUAACGAUCGAAUUGCCUUUGAAACUGUCAGACUUGAGUAUGGAUGUGGUAGGCGGAAUGUGUAGUGUAGCGGUGAAAUGCAUAGAUAUUACACAGAACUCCAAUUGCGAAGGCAGCUUACCAAACCAGCACUGACGCUGAAGCACGAAAGCGUGGGUAGCGAACAGGAUUAGAUACCCUGGUAGUCCACGCAGUAAACGAUGCUCACUCGCUGUUGGCAAUACACCGUCAGCGGCUAAGGGAAACCGAUAAGUGAGCCACCUGGGGAGUACGAUCGCAAGAUUGAAACUCAAAGGAAUUGACGGGGGCCCGCACAAGCGGUGGAACAUGUGGUUUAAUUCGAUGAUACGCGAGGAACCUUACCUGGGCUUAAAUGUGAAGUGCAUUGUUUGGAAACAGACAUUUCCUUCGGGACUCUUUACAAGGUGCUGCAUGGUUGUCGUCAGCUCGUGCCGUGAGGUGUCGGGUUAAGUCCCAUAACGAGCGCAACCCCUAUUGUUAGUUACCAGCGCGUAAAGGCGGGGACUCUAACGAGACUGCCGGUGUAAACCGCGAGGAAGGUGGGGAUGACGUCAAAUCAGCACGGCCCUUAUGUCCAGGGCUACACACGUGUUACAAUGGUCGGUACAGAGGGCAGCUAGACAGCAAUGUCAAGCGAAUCUCAAAAGCCGAUCCCAGUUCGGAUUGGAGUCUGCAACCCGACUCCAUGAAGGUGGAAUCGCUAG